CCUACGGGUGGCAGCAGUGAGGAAUAUUGGUCAAUGGGCGAGAGCCUGAACCUGCCAAGUCGCGUGAAGGAUUAAGGAUCUAUGGUUUGUAAACUUCUUUUAUAUGGGAGUAAAUUAAGGAACGUGUUCCAUUUUGUAUGUACCAUAUGAAUAAUCUUCGGCUAACUCCGUUCCAGCAGCCGCGGUAAUACUGGUGCUGCGAGCGUUAUCCGGAUUUAUUGGGUUUAAAGGUGGCGUAGGUGGUUAAUUAAGUCAGAGGUGAAAGUUCGUGGCUCAACCAUAACAUUGCCGUUGAAACUGGUUGACUUGAGGAUAUGUGAGGUAGGCGGAAUGCGUGGUGUAGCAGUGAAAUGCAUAGAGAUCACGAAGAAC
rnacentral:rRNA from 1 species